ensembl:lncRNA LINC02987 long intergenic non-protein coding RNA 2987
AGUAGCAUCUUAGCUGCUUCCGGCCGCUGGUCGCAGGGCUGCGGGACUACAAUCUUCGCAUGAAAUGGAAGAGAGGGUGGUGCGGAUAGCUUGAGGAAGGAACACUACAAGGCCUGUUAGAGAAGAAAGGGUAGAAUCCCGAGAAUGUUUUCCCCACAGUGCUGAUAAGGAGAGACCACUAUCCCAUCUACUGCUACAGCUCUGGAGACAGAGCUCUCCCACCUGUCAUAUAGAACACAAGGACCAAUCUGCAGAGAAAGAGCAUCCAAACCUGAUCCAGUGGACACUGGGGAAAAACUCACCACAGCUGAGUGUGGAAAAACAAGGCCAACACACACAUCUCUGCACAGAUACAUCUCCCAUAAAGAAACUAAAGUGUUAAUUUACAGGGCACUGUUGCAGACCCACUUCAGCUGGAAGCUAGGAACAUGGACAAGGAGCCUCUCUACCACCAAGGGAGAGAGAGGAAUGUGCUCUUGUCCUGGCAUUGCAUCCACAGGAGGGGCAGGAAAUUCUUUGAAGGUUUUCAGAUCUCAUGACUACUUUAUUUUGGAGUUGCCAGACUCAGCAAAUAAAAAUACACGACACACAGUUAAGUUUAAUAUUCAGAAAGAAAACUGUUGUGGCAAGUCAGGGACCCCAAACGGAGGGACCGGCUGAAGCCAUGGCAGAAGAACAAGGAUUGUGAAGAUUUCAUGGACAUUUAUUAGUUCCCCAAAUUAAUACUUUUAUAAUUUCUUAUGUCUGUCUUUACUGCAAUCUCUAAACAUAAGUUGUGAAGAUUUCAUGGACACUUAUCACUUCCCCAGUCAAUAUCCUUGUGAUUUCCUAUGCCUGUCUUUACUUUAAUCUCUUAAUCCUGUCAGCUGAGAAGGAUGUAUAUUGCCUCAGGACCCUGUAAUAAUUGCAUUAACUGCACAAAUUAUACAGCGUGUGUGUUUAAACAAUAUGAAAUCUGGGCACUUUGAAAAAAGAACAAGAUAACAGCAGUGUUUAGGAAACAAGAUAGAUAGCCUUAAACUCUGACUGCUGGUGAGCCGGGCAGAACAGAGCCAUAUUUCUCUUCUUUCAAAAGCAAAUGGGAGAAAUAUCGCUGAAUUCUUUCUCAUGAUGGAACAUCCCUGAGAAAGAGAAUGUGUGCCUGCGGGUAGGUCUCUGAACUGGCCCCCCUGGGCAUAGCCUGUCUCUUAUGGUCGAGGCUGCCGAGAUGAAAUAGACUCCAGUCUCCCACAGCGCUCCCAGGCUUAUUAGGAAGAGGAAAUUCCCGCCUAAUAAAUUUUGGUCAGACCAGUUGAUCUCAAAACCCUGUCUCCUGAUAAGAUGUUAUCAAUGACAAUGGUGCCCAAAACUUCAUUAGCAAUUUUAAUUUCGCAUCGGUCCUGUGGUCCUGUGAUUGCGCCCUGCCUCCACUUGCCUUGUGAUAUUCUAUUAUCCUGUUAAGUACUUGAUGUCUGUCACCCACACCUAGUCGCACACUCCCUCCUCUUUUGAAAAUCUCUAGUAAAAACUUGCUGGUUUUUGUGGUUUGUGGGCCAUCACAGAUCCUACCAACGUGUGAUGUCUCCCCCGGACGCCCAGCUUUAAAAUUUCUCUUUUGUACUCUGUCCCUUUAUUUCUCAAGCUGGCCGACACUUAGGAAAAAUAGAAAAAAACCUACGUGAUUAUCGGGGCAGGUUCCCCAAUAGAAAACAAAUAA